CUAGGGGAGCGACUGGUGCAGCCGCUGAUUGUUCGGGUUCGACUGUGGCUUCCACCUCGGCUCGAACCUCAGUUGGUGGAGUUAUCGAUGUUGCUGCGACAGUCCCGUUUUCUUUUGCCGCCCCCUCUUCAGCAGACGGCGCAUUGGGAAACACUGUCGGAGCCGACAGCACCAGAACUGGCUCAGGAACCAAUGCUGAUGGUACAUUAGAUUCUCUCAUCGGUGC
rnacentral:lncRNA from 1 species